rnacentral:rRNA from 1 species
GACGAACGCUGGCGGCGUGCUUAACACAUGCAAGUCGAACGGGUCUGCCCUGUUUUUUGCGGGGUGGGUCAGUGGCGAACGGGUGAGUAACACGUGAGUAACCUGCCCCUCACUUCUGGAUAACCGCUUGAAAGGGUGGCUAAUACGGGGUGUUCUGGCUGUGCCGCAUGGUGUGGCUGGGAAAGAUUCACUUUUGUGGUGUUUUGGUGGGGGAUGGGCUCGCGGCCUAUCAGCUUGUUGGUGGGGUGAUGGCCUGCCAAGGCUUUGACGGGUAGCCGGCCUGAGAGGGUGGGCGGCCACACUGGGACUGAGAUGCGGCCCAGACUCCUGCGGGAGGCAGCAGUGGGGGGUAUUGCACAAUGGGCGGAAGCCUGAUGCAGCGACGUCGCGUGAGGGAUGGAGGCCUUCGGGUUGUGAACCUCUUUCGCCGGUGAAGAAGGUCCUGCUCUUUGUGGUGGGGUUGACGGUAGCCGGGUUAUGAAGCGCCGGCUAACUACGUG